GGAUCAUCCACUCUCCCUUUGUCUCUCUAGUUGCUGCUGCUGUUGUGAAGAAGAAGAAAAUGAGCUCUUUUUUUGUGAAUAUGGCAGCUCAGGUGAGCUCUCUGGUUAAGUGAAUACACGGAUGAUAGGAACGUUGUGAGCGAACCUGGAGGGGCAAUAUCUUCUUAGAUAUUUUAAGAAAAUGAUUUUGUUAUAAGAAGCAGAGUUUUUGAUUCUCAAAAAGAGAUUUUAUAUGUUUUUCAUGCCUGUUUAAAAUUAUGAUUUUUUCUUCUUUUCGUUUUCUUUGAAUUGAAAUUUAAGGGCUUUAUAAUUUCUUUCUCUUGGUGCGAAGAUAUCUUUUUAUUAAAUGAUUGGUACUUAAAUGUUUCCUGAUUUACUUUGAAAUCCUCUGCUCUGUUUGAAAUCCUCAGUUUGGUUUCUGAGAAAAUGUAGAAAUAAAAAAUGAGAGACAAAAACUA
rnacentral:lncRNA from 1 species